UACGUAGGUGGCGAGCGUUGUCCGGAUUUAUUGGGUUUAAAGGGUGCGUAGGCGGCUUAUUAAGUCAGUGGUGAAAUAUCGCAGCUCAACUGUGAGGGUGCCAUUGAUACUGAUGAGCUUGAGUUCAGUCGAGGUAGGCGGAAUUGACGGUGUAGCGGUGAAAUGCUUAGAUAUCGUCAAGAACACCGAUAGUGAAGACAGCUUACUAGAGUGAAACUGACGCUGAGGCACGAAAGUGUGGGGAUCAAACAGG
rnacentral:rRNA from 1 species